CUCAAGUUUUGAAUCUGGUGUCUGAUCUCUUUAUGCAUCUAGAGAAAUGGAGAAAUAUGCUUUGCAAUUUGGCAGCAUCAAAUAUUGCUUACAGCCUAUCAGCGGCUCCCAGUCCAAGGCUUCCUGAUUUAAGCUUUGGAUUGUGGCAGAAAUAGCUAGGCAGAAUGAUGGGGUUGGGGUUAAACCAUUCCUUACAGGUUUAACCCUUUGAGGUACGUUGGCACCCAGGGACCUCCUCACACCUUAACAACUUAAUUCUGAUGCCUGGAGUGUUUCUUUAAUUGUAAUUAAAA